UCCAUAUUGAUCGCUCCUAACACGUUCGGGGUUGUUAUGGGGACCCCCUCGAUAAAUCGCGUAGUGUUAAGACUUGUCCGGCAGGACCCAACAUUGGUGUUAAUUUGCUAAUCACUUAAUAAUAAUCUGCAUAGGGAAUGAUCACCCCGAGGAUCUUUAAUCAACAACCCGGGCCAGUGCUCCUCAUGAGUGUUGGUCCAAAAUGGACAGACUGCGGGGGCCACCACAGGGAAACUUGAGGUUUGGCUCCU
rnacentral:lncRNA from 1 species